UACGUAGGGGGCGAGCGUUGUCCGGAAUCAUUGGGCGUAAAGCGCGUGUAGGCGGCCCGGUAAGUCCGCUGUGAAAGUCCAGGGCUCAACCCUGGGAUGCCGGUGGAUACUGUCGGGCUCGAGUCCGGAAGAGGCGAGUGGAAUUCCUGGUGUAGCGGUGAAAUGCGCAGAUAUCAGGAGGAACACCAAUGGCGAAGGCAGCUCGCUGGGACGUGACUGACGCUAAGGCGCGAAAGCGUGGGGAGCGAACAGG
rnacentral:rRNA from 1 species